rnacentral:rRNA from 1 species
UACGAAGGGGGCUAGCGUUGCUCGGAAUCACUGGGCGUAAAGCGCACGUAGGCGGCUUUCUAAGUCAGGGGUGAAAUCCUGGAGCUCAACUCCAGAACUGCCUUUGAUACUGGAGAGCUUGAGUCCGGAAGAGGUGAGUGGAACUCCGAGUGUAGAGGUGAAAUUCGUAGAUAUUCGGAAGAACACCAGUGGCGAAGGCGGCUCACUGAUCCGGUACUGACGCUGAUGUGCGAAAGCGUGGGGAGCAAACAGG